rnacentral:rRNA from 1 species
AUUGAACGCUGGCGGCAUGCUUUACACAUGCAAGUCGAACGGGCUUGGGGGCUUGCUCCCAAGUUAGUGGCGAACGGGUGAGUAAUACAUCGGAACGUACCGUGUAGUGGGGGAUAACUUAGCGAAAGUUAGGCUAAUACCGCAUACGAUCUACGGAUGAAAGUGGGGGACCUUCGGGCCUCACGCUAUACGAGCGGCCGAUGUCUGAUUAGCUAGUUGGUGAGGUAAAGGCUCACCAAGGCGACGAUCAGUAGCGGGUCUGAGAGGAUGAUCCGCCACACUGGGACUGAGACACGGCCCAGACUCCUACGGGAGGCAGCAGUGGGGAAUUUUGGACAAUGGGCGAAAGCCUGAUCCAGCCAUGCCGCGUGUCUGAAGAAGGCCUCGGUUGUAAGGU